AUGGCUAUGUGUGUGCCAGCAAGACAAUGGCUCUGCGUAAACUACUGGAGGCCGAAACCACAGACGCUGGCUUUACCAAUCAAGAGAAAGACCCUGAGGAGUUCCUGAACAAGCUUUUCCAGCUCCUGCGCAUGGAGCCACUCCUGAGGAUCAGGUCUAUGAACCAUCAGCCUCAGCAGUGCCACAUCUACCAGCUCUUCCCUCCCUCCACCACCCCGUCCUCCCCC